AAUAUGAACAGAAAGAAGCAGCACGUCUAGGUGGAGCUGAGGAAAUGGAGGGAGUGAGAGAGAAAGCAAACACAUGGGCAGGCCAAGGAUGAAUACCUGUUGUGAAGGGAAAAGAGUUGGGAAGGUCUGCUCACUCACAUCCACUGAAGUCAACUGGAAGAGUCUCAGUGACUUCACUGCACAAUGGAUCAAGCCUCCAAUGCCAUCUGACCCCUUCAUCUGCAAAGGCUUCUGGUGUAGAUCCCACCAACAUUUCCUUCUUCCUGUGUUUGUCUGGCUGCUGCUCCCUAAUUGUGUUUCCAUCUCUGUCCCAUUGAGACUGAGCAGUUUGGAACAGUGUUCUUUGUUUUUUUCUACACAUUAUUUUCACAUGGACAUAUAAACCACCAUACCAUUACCAGCAACUUAAUUUGGUGGCAGACCUCAAUCCAGUUCCAAAAGCCUAAUACUUGUCUGUGUAGUGGGGAAAAACUGGAUACAACAGUAACAUGCCUGCCUGCCUUUGAGUCUCUGUUCUCUUUAUAUUGUCUUCAGUAAGUUAACAUUACUUUGCAUGAGUGACACCACUACAUUUCUGUCCUUGUCACAUGAUAUUUAUCAGCUCCUCAGUCUAGUGAGUAUUUAUACUGUAUUGUCCUAGAAAAAGCUGGCAUAUGUUAGUCACAGUUUUGGUAGACUGCUUCUCUCUGAUUGCUAUCCCUUAGAAAGAAAGAGGAUAAUCAACCUAGGACACAGCUCAUUAAAUUGUAUCAUAUUAAUUCCAUUAAUAACCCUAUCAGAGCACCACUCUAUAACCCUUCCGCAGGUAAAAUUCAAUUUGACUAGGAGAAGUGGCUUCUAGUCAUUACUUCAGAUUUUAAUAAGUAACUAUUUGAUUUUAAUAAGCACUAAAUAUACAGCCUCCAAUUCAGUAGAGGUGCUUGCCUAAUUUUAAGCAUAUGAACAGUCCACUGACUACAUUCACUAGGGCUAGGCCUGUGCUUAAAGUCUGAUGCAUUCUUUACAACUUUGCUUUAUCCAGCAACAUAUUUGCAAAUGGAAAGGUACUUAACAUAUAUUUUUUCGUAUAGUUAGGUCUGACAGGAACUUUUCAGUCAGCUCUAAUUAGAAUAUUAAACCACAACAUUUUUCUGCUAAGGUAACAGACUCGAUUUGAAAGAGUAAAAAUUAAAACAAAAAAAAAAAACCCACUAAGAUCAUGAACCAUGAAAUAUGAGACACCUUAUGAAUCAGGGCCCAUGUGUAGAAAAUGAGCAAUUAAGAUACUUCAAGCAUUGACAUCAUAUAUUUCAUUCCUGAGCACAUUUAAUUGCACUGCAUUAUUCAUAAAAACACACUUGCCCUAAAAUGAGUCCAUGACCAGCUAUUCCAAUUUACUGCACAGCUUUCAUGGAAUAUUGAGAAGCCCUUUAAAAUCAGAUGCAGUCUAAUGUAGGCAUUCAAUGGCUGUGCAAAUACAAAUAAAAAGAGAAGCAGAGCAUGUUGGGAGUCAUCAUGACUAUGUUGCUCAGUUAUCACUUUGACUUUGCCUUAUUUCUCAGACAUCAUCCAAAUGCCUAUGCAUCAGAAAUAUCCUGAAAUUCCUCCAGACCUUUUUCUGACCUUAUUCUGGACUAAUUUCAAUGGGAGUUUUUGUCUAACUAAGGACAGAGUAAAUACGCAGAAAAUUGGAUUUCAUCUGCUACUUUUGCACUAGCCUAGUUCUGCUUUCCAAUGGCCCAAUGGAAACCUCUUGAUACUGCUGUAACUCAAAGGCAGUUUUAUCAAGCCCAUUUGAAAUGGUAUUGAAUAAAAAGAAGGUUUCAAGAUUAGAUUUUAAGAUUAAGAUUUUAAGAUUUCAAGGUUAGUUUUCAAGAUAAACUACGCCCAAAUUUCAUCAUGCAAUCUCUAUUUCUUCAUUUUGUUUAAUUCAGCUUAAUUGACAGUCUUGCAAAUAGGGUAAAUUAACUUGGAAAUUGAUUAAAUCAUAGUUUUUGGUUCAUCAGGUUUUGAAUUAGUUCCAGGCAAUAUUAUUUUAAUAAUACUGUCUCAAUAUGCUGUUGAGAGACCAGCAGCAAUUCUGCGUGCAUAAAAAGGUGAUAAUCAGAUU